AUGGACAUCGUAUGGCCGCCGCAGCUAGGAUCGUUUAUAUUGACUAAGUUGACAAAGCCCUGCAUCCGCGUCAACUUAGUAGGCCCACAAGUCAGCCUCCAAAUAUGGUGGGACCGACCUAGCAGCAGGGGUAUUUAUUAUUUUUGUGCGUAA
rnacentral:rRNA from 1 species